AUGGUUUCCCUCUGGCACACCUCCUUCAUUGUCCUUGUGCUCCUAUUCCUUGGAGGAUCCCAUGCCAACCCAGCCGCCCGCCGCCACGGUCAGCUGGAUGUAAACCACAAGAAGCAGCCACUACAGACAUCCAGACCUUACAACAUUGCCCACAGGGGUUCCAAUGGCGAAAUACCCGAAGAGACAGCUGCGGCAUAUUUGAGGGCAAUCGAGGAAGGUGCAGACUUCAUAGAGACUGAUAUACUUGCAUCAAAGGACGGACAUCUGAUAUGUUUCCAUGAUGUAAUCCUGGAUGCCACGACGGACAUCGCGAACCGUACCGAGUUUGCUGGCAGGAAGAGAACUUAUGAUGUCCAGGGAUUUAAGUUGACUGGGUGGUUUAUCGUGGAUUUUACUUUAAGAGAACUGAAAUCACUGAGGGUGAAACAGCGCUACAAUUUCAGGGAUCAACAGUAUAAUUGGAAGUACAAUAUUCUUACAUUUGAUGAGUUUAUCUUGAUUGCACUUCAUGCUGACAGGGUGGUCGGAAUAUACCCAGAGAUCAAGAAUCCUAUUUUCAUCAACCAGCAUGUCAAGUGGUCAGGCGGUAAGAAGUUUGAGGACAAGUUUGUCGGGACGCUUCUCAAGUAUGGCUACAAAGGCAAAUAUAUGUCUAAAGAUUGGCUCAAGAAGCCACUAUUCAUCCAAUCCUUUGCUCCAACUUCACUAAUUUACAUCUCAAACAUGACAAAUGCUCCAAAACUGCUUCUAAUAUACGACACCACAGUUCCAACUCAAGAUACCAACCAGUCAUACUAUGAGAUAACGUCGAACGGCUAUCUCGCGUUCAUAAGGAAGUAUGUAAUUGGGAUUGGGCCAUGGAAGGAUACAAUUAUCCCCCCAAAGAAUAACCAUCUAGGCCUUGCAACCGAUCUUGUGGCACGGGCACACGCUCUGAAUCUUCAGGUGCAUCCAUACACAUUCAGAAAUGAGAACUCCUUCCUGCACUUCAACUUCCAUCAAGACCCUUAUGCUGAAUAUGAGUACUGGCUCAAAGAGAUUGGAGUCGACGCGCUGUUCACCGAUUUCACCGGCAGCUUGCACAAGUACCAGGAGUGGACAGCUCCACACCAAAAGAAGGAAAAGAAGUGCAGAGGAACUCCUGCAUGA
rnacentral:rRNA from 1 species